rnacentral:lncRNA from 1 species
CAAGGAAGGACUUUCUGGAAUCUACUUAUCUGACCAAGAAAGCUUCUUUCCAAAAGAAAUGCAAUUGUCUUGAGACUUCUUCCCUAGGGAUCUGAUCAACUAACCAGAAAAGAGCAACCACCAGAGAAGAGACUGUGGGUGUCAUUGUGACUGGCUGCUACCUCCCCAUGAGUCUUCUAAAAUAAAACCUGCAAAUUCACAUCUUCCCCAUGCUUCCAGAGAAUGCAUAUUCUUCCUUUGAAAAAAGAAAACCAGGUAGUCGUACAGUGUCCAGAAGGCAAAAGGACAAGUAUGCACUGCCCUACUUACCUACUUUCCACACUGCUGCACAGGAAAAUCUGACAGAGGACAAUAACAAACAUCUCACCAGCUCAUGCGUUCUUUUUUGAUCCUAAUUCCGAGAGACUCACCAAAGACAUGAAGAGAAAACAAACAAUACUUUUCUUGGAAAUAUUGUAAUUGCUGGUAC